UUUUUUUUUUUUAACAAACCAUUAUCCAAUCAAACUAUAUUCUAUGUAUCCAUAAUACAAGUUCAAAGUUCUACAUAACCAUAAUGCAAAGUUUAAUGUACAAACCCAAAUGAAAUUAAGUAGUAGCAACUAGCAAAUAAGUUGAAUAAGACAAUAAGUAGAAAUAAACGAGAUCGGAGAUCCCUAAUGCCAAGUUAAAAGUUUAUCUCCUUUCUUUAACUCUUCUCCUCCAUACCCUUCCAAAACUUGAUCUACAUUAGUUUAAUACUAUACAUUUAAGGCCGCCAAAGGCCUCCAAAGACGUCGAUGAUGCCGCCAAGGCCGCCUAGGCGGCCGCCAAACACCGCCAAACCUCCCUGGGCGCCAAAUCAAACGCCAAGGGGUAUUGGCGUGGCGGCAGGGUACCUCCAAGCGCCUAG